GUCCAAGCGUUGUUCGGAAUCAUUGGGCGUAAAGCGUGUGCAGGUGGUUUUGGAAGUUGGAUGUGAAAGCCCCGGGCUUAACCCGGGAAGUGCAUUCAAAACUGCAAAACUUGAGUAUGGAAGAGGGUCGUGGAAUUCCUGGUGUAGUGGUGAAAUACGUAGAUAUCAGGAGGAACACCGGUGGCGAAGGCGGCGACCUGGUCCUAUACUGACACUCAUACACGAAAGCGUGGGUAGCAAACAGG
rnacentral:rRNA from 1 species